rnacentral:lncRNA from 1 species
GGAGACCAGAAAGUUGGCAUAUGAUCUGAAGGUGCAGGAAGCUAGAUCUUGAAAGUCUUUGGAAUGGUUGUAUAGAGCCGAGUUGUGUUUGGCCCACAGCUCCUGGCUGCCUGGCUUUAAUAAUGGGCUUAGGGUUGUUCAGACACGCUUCAUUAAUGCCGGUGCUGUGUCCCACCAGGACUGUCUCAUCUUUACUGCAGAGGAGGAGGAGUAUUUUUGUUAGCGUUAGGUAGGGCCUGUAAGUGACGUUUGGAGUCAUUAAGAAUUGAAGGUGUGUGUGGAAUUUGAUGGGGAAUCUUGGAGGAAAAGAAGAUGGAUAGAAGUCUACAGCCUUCUAAGGAGAGCAUUUUUA